rnacentral:rRNA from 1 species
AUAAUGGGUCAGCGACUUAUAUUCUGUAGCAAGGUUAACCGAAUAGGGGAGCCGAAGGGAAACCGAGUCUUAACUGGGCGUUAAGUUGCAGGGUAUAGACCCGAAACCCGGUGAUCUAGCCAUGGGCAGGUUGAAGGUUGGGUAACACUAACUGGAGGACCGAACCGACUAAUGUUGAAAAAUUAGCGGAUGACUUGUGGCUGGGGGUGAAAGGCCAAUCAAACCGGGAGAUAGCUGGUUCUCCCCGAAAGCUAUUUAGGUAGCGCCUCGUGAAUUCAUCUCCGGGGGUAGAGCACUGUUUCGGCAAGGGGGUCAUCCCGACUUACCAACCCGAUGCAAACUGCGAAUACCGGAGAAUGUUAUCACGGGAGACACACGGCGGGUGCUAACGUCCGUCGUGAAGAGGGAAACAACCCAGACCGCCAGCUAAGGUCCCAAAGUCAUGGUUAAGUGGGAAACGAUGUGGGAAGGCCCAGACAGCCAGGAUGUUGGCUUAGAAGCAGCCAUCAUUUAAAGAAAGCGUAAUAGCUCACUGGUCGAGUCGGCCUGCGCGGAAGAUGUAACGGGGCUAAACCAUGCACCGAAGCUGCGGCAGCGACGCUUAUGCGUUGUUGGGUAGGGGAGCGUUCUGUAAGCCUGUGAAGGUGUACUGUGAGGUAUGCUGGAGGUAUCAGAAGUGCGAAUGCUGACAUAAGUAACGAUAAAGCGGGUGAAAAGCCCGCUCGCCGGAAGACCAAGGGUUCCUGUCCAACGUUAAUCGGGGCAGGGUGAGUCGACCCCUAAGGCGAGGCCGAAAGGCGUAGUCGAUGGGAAACAGGUUAAUAUUCCUGUACUUGGUGUUACUGCGAAGGGGGGACGGAGAAGGCUAUGUUGGCCGGGCGACGGUUGUCCCGGUUUAAGCGUGUAGGCUGGUUUUCCAGGCAAAUCCGGAAAAUCAAGGCUGAGGCGUGAUGACGAGGCACUACGGUGCUGAAGCAACAAAUGCCCUGCUUCCAGGAAAAGCCUCUAAGCAUCAGGUAACAUCAAAUCGUACCCCAAACCGACACAGGUGGUCA